CUACCGGGGUUUCUAAUCCUGUUUGCUCCCCACGCUUUCGCACCUCAGCGUCAGUACCGAGCCAGUGAGCCGCCUUCGCCACUGGUGUUCUUCCUAAUAUCUACGAAUUCCACCUCUACACUAGGAGUUCCACUCACCUCUCUCGGACUCUAGAUAUCCAGUAUCAAAGGCAGUUCCGGAGUUGAGCUCCGGGAUUUCACCCCUGACUUAAAUAUCCGCCUACGUGCGCUUUACGCCCAGUAAUUCCGAACAACGCUAGCCCCCUUCGUAUUACCGCGGCUGCUGGCAC
rnacentral:rRNA from 1 species